rnacentral:lncRNA from 1 species
AGUCCUAAUACAGACCGGGCCAGAGCUCAAGGACCUUCUUCCAAGAAGGCCUGCUCGAGAUAUCAUCCCACCAACCGCUCACAUGCUUUCGGUCCCUUAUCAGAUACUCCUUCCCUAUCUUUCCCACCAAGUACUGGGUGAACGGAAGGUGGCUCAGGUCGGCAAGGCUGAAGAAAUCCCCUGCCAGGUACUUGCUCUUUGACAGCCUCUCCUCGUAGAUAUCCAGAACCUGACAGAGCUUGUCCUCGCUCUCUUUGAGCUGCUUCGGAUCCGGGGUAAGCCCAAUAAAAGGGCCAAAAACAAUUUUGAGGACAAGGUCGUAGAUUGGCGGAUGGAAGUUGUGGGCCUCGACUUCGAGCCACUGCUCAACGAGCCCCCUCUCCUCGAUUGUCUUCCCCAGCAGUUCAGUCCCUUGGUCCUUGUAUUUCUCGGCAUAAUACCUUAUGAUGGCCCGCGAUUCUGUAUGAAUUAGACAGGAUAUAUCACAGAGAAUAGACAGACAAAUCUUUAUCCCCACAUAUGAAAAGCAACAAAUAACCAGAAUGAAACCUAAAAGAGGCAUGCACUGUGCUUUCGAAUCUUCCAGCAGUCUUACUCUCAUGACACUAGACCCACGGUAUAAGUGUAGAUGCAGCAGGACACUUCAAUGUCUAUGCACUGAUCAUUCUGCUUAAAGUCCAAUCAAGAACAUGACCGGAUGAAAAUGCAGGUCCAAACUGAAAAUCGCCUUUGGUCGACAUACGAAAAGAGGCAGAUCAUGAACAACUCCAGAACAGAUAUGGAGACUAAGAGCCUGGCCUUAAGAGCUUUGGAUUCAAAUCAUCUGUUCCCGAGGCAAAUGAUUAGACUUGAGAUUGAGAGUGGAUGUAUGUAACCUAAAACGAGUGGCUGAUAUCAGGUGAACAUGCCGGUGGACUCAAUCUUUUCAACUUCCUCUGAUAUCCACUCAUUGCAGAACUCUUUAGACUAUUGCGACGCUUCACCGGCCGAUUACAACGCAAACAGCCCUAGUAAAUUAGGAACAUCUGCACGCUAAAGAACCAUCCGUAUGUCCCCGUGCUCUGAUCUCAAGACCGCAAGAAAACAGCAAUAGAAAGAAAAUAACGAUGCAAGAAGCCAAGAGUCGAGAGCAUUACCGAACAGAGUGUAGUCGCCAUCUUGAACCACAGGAAGCGAUCCGAAGGGCUACACAGACGCGCGCGCACACACGAGAUCCGAAUCAGCGUCAAUCAGACAAGACUACCCACGAAAGGAGACACAAUGAAAAUUCAAGCGAUCAAGAGUUUGACCGAAAGCGAAGUUGGAGUUUCAAGAACGACCGGGACAGACCUGGAGCUUGAGGUACUCGGGGGCUUUGUGCUCGCCUUUGAGGAGGUCGACGCCGACGGUCUCGAACUCGACGCCCUUCUCGAGCAGGCACACCAGUGCCCGCUUCGGCGACGCGUAGUCAGGUCCGUACACCUUCACCACCAUCGUCACUCUCGCUCUCUCUCUGUGCUUCUCUCUUCCUUCUUGACGGACCUAGUCAGCGACUCUCUCCGCUGUGUCUCCGUGGCGCUAUAAAGAGGUCUCUUUGUUAGAGCAGCAGAAGAAGGUGCACAAGUCAAUGAUGCACCAACCCACAAUUAAUCCAAGGUUAGGUAAUUGGUCCCCAUCAUUAUGAAGUUUCGCAUUUCGCAUUUGCUUCCAUGAGUUUGAAUCCCUCUGUAAGUUCAACUUAUGUGGAAAUACCGCGACUCUUUUGGCUGUGUAUGCUAUCUGGGUAAAGUUGGGAUGGCAAGUAGGGCCUCCUUUGGCUGUCAAGGGAUUUAUUGCCCUAGAUUAAAAAUAUCCCAUAAAAGAGAUGAAAUAAAUAUAGAUAGAAUUUUUUAUAUUUAUGAUAUAAAAAUCAUUUUUGUCUAAUAACAAAUUUCUUCGAAUUUAAAUAAUUAAAUAUAAACAAUAUAUGAGUUCUAAUAUUAAAAGGGAAAUUCAAAAUAACAACGAUUUUCAUUUUAUUUUAUUUUUAUUUAUCCGAAUUUAUUUUCUAUAUAUACAUACUUAGCAUUUAUAUCUAUCACAUAUUUUAGGUAUAUUGGUAUGGUUAAUUUAUUAAGAAAUGAUGGAAAGGAAUUAAAAAAAAAAGGAAACAAAACAAAAGAGUGAAAAUAAUAUAAAAAUAAAUAAAUAAAAUUGAAGUAGGCGAGAGAGUUGAAACACUAAUUAAGAUUCGCGAAGGUAAAUGAUCAUGUUUUCUUUCUCUUAGUAGAUUUGACAAGUGUUGACUAAUCCACCUAUCAAUGUUGUCAUAGCUCAUUUAGGUUUGUCGUCAAAAUCGAAUUCAUGACUUUGAAAUGUUGCAAUGAGCUCAUUUGUUAUUUAAGAUUUGGAUUGUCCAAUAAUUAUGCAUUUAUUUAUGGAUGUUAUCUCUGUCUACUUAUGGUUUCUUUAACAAUUAAUGUAAGAUAUUCUUAACAUCUCCAUUUGUACAUUUUCAUGUUCAUUUAUAUUGAUAUACUAUUCCUAGCAAAUAUUUGACAUGAUAGGAUAUGAAAAUAUUCAGUUUUAUUACAACAAUUCACCACAUAAUAGAUAAGAUUUUGUUAAUUCCAUAUCUUACCAUAUCACAUUCUAUUCAAUCAUAUCGUAAUUAGAAAUCCAAAUGAACAAAUACACCUAAAAUUGUUAAAAUUUGUCAUGCUCCAUGGGACAUUUGUAAUCUUGAAAGAUCUGUCUUUUGUCGAUUUCUUUUGCACUAAAUUGGUGUCGCACCUAUGCUCUACACCUUUGAUUAGUUUCGGCCGAAAGUUUUCAAUAAUUGUCACAAGAUGAAAAGCACCGUGCUCAUUUUUUUCACAUGGCCCACCUGCUUCUGGAAAGGCAAUUACCAAUUUGCUCGAAUAGGGUAGUAGGUGAGAGGUCAAAUUGGCCUAUGUCCGCAAGCCAUAGAUUCUAAUAAUCGGUCUUCUUUUCAAUCUAAAUUAUUCGAGGGAGUAGGAAGAUUUGGCCAACCGAAAAUGCACACUUGAGCUGUCCUUGCAUCAUUAACAAAAUGGUUUUCUUUCUCAACUUCCUUUGCACCUGCAAUUGAGUAAACUAUUGAUCACCUAACCUCCACAGGAGAACAAGCAAGAAAGGGGUAAUCGAUUAUUAUAUGUUCGACGCCAUUAUUCACCCAAAUCAAUCAUCGCGAGUGAGAAUUUAAGAAACCUCAUAACAUUUUUCAUGUGACAACGGAAUUAGAAGAGCAAAAAGCAUCAUUGUUCGGACGAAAUACUGCUAUGAGAAAGACUAUCGGUUCGAGUGUUAGAAGAGAGGUGUUUUUUGGAAGGAUCAUUUAUGUGACUCUCUCUCCUCUGAAACUUUUUCGUAUUUGAUUCGUCAAACCUAAUUGCAAAAGUAAACCGUGAUAAUUUCACCCUGCAAUGCUGGUCAAGUACGCUGCUUUGGUUGGCUUCCUGGCUGCCCACUGAUUAGGGCGAGUCCUGAAAAUUACUGUCUUGGAUUGAAUCAAGCCGAGGAAUGCGGAGAAACCUUAUAACGAAUAUUGAUCUCCUGCUGAUGCUCAGAGGCACACCAUCGUAAAAGACAAAUCGUAAUAUUUGGUCUUUCUUUGUUUUAUUUGGUCAAAAGUGGGCUUUUUCAUAUUUAAAGAAAGGAGAAAAGAAGAGUAAUAAUGGGACAGCCCGCACCGAGAGAGAAAGGAAAAGGAAACGCGAUAGAAAAGGAAGACGAGAGGGAAAAGGUAAAGAGGAAGAACUAGCGCACACACCUUGGAAUUAUCGUCAGGUUGGAUUGACUUCAUUUUUAUGAUCAGAAUUUACGGCAUUUGUUUGUUUAUUCGGAGUAGUUUUCAAAAUCAAGAUACAAAUUCGAAAUCAUGUGAAAUUUAAACUACGAAUUCAGUUUUUGAGUUGUUAGAUGUGGAAUUGCAUGGAAAUCAUGAUUAGGGCGUUAUGGAGUCAUGAAAUAUGAUGGGAAUUCCUUACCAAAAUUAUUUGAAGUAACUUUUAAAUCAUAUUUGAUGGGAUUUAUUUGAAGUAACUUUUUAGUCGAAGUGAACUUUAGAAAUUUCUACAGAGCUCUACAUUGUGAUUAGCUUUGAUUCAUCGCAAUGGGCGAGCGAUUUGUUGUGCAUGGGUGUAAUUUUGUUAGGGAUUAAACUUAGUUCAGCCAAUUCGUGGUUGAGAUAGUGUUUUACUUGAUUUUGAUGUAAAUUCUAAUUUAAUUUAUAAAAUUACAAGAUCGUCAGCUCUUUUGAUUUUGGGUAUUUUCAAGUGAAUGAUACUAUCCCUUUUUUGAAUUUCUAAACUCAUAUGUUGAAAAUGAAAGGGAUUAGACAUAUUAUGUGUAAAGUAUGAUUUAAUUAAAUGGCAGAAAUGAUGUUCAUUGCAUAUUUGAUACAUAAAAUUUGAAUCGGGUAUUUAUUGCCCUUUUGAUUAUUUGAAAUAGCGUGGAAAGCAUUUUUGGAAACAAUUUACGAGUUGAUUAUUAUGAAAUAAUUUGGGAAGUGCUUUAUUGCAUAAAAGUUAUAUGUAUUGAUUUGUGAAAUUGAUUUAUAAAGGUAUUAUAUUGCAAAAGGAUAUAUGUUUGAUAUUAUGAAAACCAUUUAUGAUAUCGAUUCUGGAUUAGUUUUGAGGAAGAAAUUGAUUUUUGAAAGGAUAUAUGUUUUGGUUUGUGUCAAAGUAUUUUGAUUAUGGGAUGGAUCUGGGUUUGGUAUUGUGGAUUAUUAGAAUAUGAUGGUUUGAUUCUUAUUAUUGUUGCAAACUUAGUUAGGAGUUUUUAAGGCUUAAGGAUAUUAUUAUGGGUCAAACCACUAGCUGCUAAUAGGCGGAGACAUUGCCUUGGUCCUCUUUCACCAAUCGUGAUUAUGGUUGAAUAUUAAGCAUAAAAUGAAUCAGUGAAAUAGCUUAUUGAUGUGUGGAGCGAGUUUCAAGAACAGAGACAGGCCUGAACUUGAGGAAUUCAGGGGCUCUGUUCUCGUCCUUGAAGAUAUUGAUGGGAACGGUCUCGAACUCGACGCCUUCUCGACCAGGCACACCAGCACUCGCUUCGGAUUUGCAUAAUCAGGCCCGUACACCUUCACCACCAUUUUUUCUCUCUUCUUCUCUCUUGUCGACGGACCAGUUGAUUUCCAAAUAUCUUUCAGGAUCGACUCUCUCCUUCUGCAUCUGGGUUUUUAAAGGAAGCCCUUUUCAGAGGAUUAAACCAUGUUGCACACGACACCGUCAUGCACCAACAUACUGCUCGCGACCCGAUUCCUUUGGGGAUCCAAGGUUAGAUAAUCGGUCAACGUUGGUAUGCUACUAAUUACCUUUGUCGAAUUUUACUUCGCAUAUGCCUUGGAAGGCUUUGCAACAUUUCCUCUGACUUAUCUUUCAUAGAUUCUUCUCUGGCAAUGCGCAUGCUAUGACAUAUUUGGACGGUAGACUUGAAAUUCAUUAUGCUCGCACAAAUUUCCGCAGAGAAAACGACAGUCUUUAAAACUUUAGCCUAAGUACAACGUCAUCUUUGACUUUUAUUAAUUUAGUGAAUUCCUUGAAUUUCUAAUGUCCAAUCUAAUCCUUAAACCCUUUCGCAUUUUCCCAAUUAAGUCCAUCUAGCCAAUUUUAGCUAAAAAUCACUAAACUAGACAUUAACUAUAUUAGGUAGUACAGGUGACAUUGACGUAAAUAAUUUUUUAAUUUUUUUUAACAUUUUUAAUGAACUUUUUAUUUUUUAUUUUUCUUUUCUUUUUCUAAUCCUAGGCCGGCAACCCUCGCCUUGUCUAGGCUAGGGGCCCUCGAGCUGCGGUGGUUGUUUUUGUAGCAAUGGUCUCCCUCCUCCUUUGAGGAGUUUGUGUUCUGAUCUUCAUGCCGUGCUUGUCUCUUGUUAGCUUGGCUUCCUUUUUCUGGUUGCCUUGUGUUGUUGAUUUUACAUCUCGGCAUCCGUCCACUCAUUAUGUCCUCUCAUCUUGAGUGUAUGUUUUCGAUGCCGUAACCUUUUGUACAUUUGGCAUUUCCCUAUAUAUUUAUUACCUCUUACCAAAAAAAAAAAAAAAAAAAAAACAGGUGAAGGAUGCCCUCGCCUUACCCAAGCCAAGCAAGGUUGUCACAGCCCUAGCCUAAAUCUAGGCAAAGGCCAACCCUCUCACUUGUGGCCUGCAACUUAAGUAACAUCGAUCAGUAUGUGACAUGCAACACAACAUAAGACAACGUGCGAUAUGGCACAACACGAUACGUUGACACAUUAAUUCUCGAAAAAUAGAGAAUUCCAACACGUUAGGAUGCAUUGUAUAUUAAAUAUAUAUAUUUUAUAUAUACAUGAUAAAUUAUCAUUUUUAUGAUUAUUUUAAUAAAUUUAAUUUGAUUUAGAUUCGGAAUAAAUAAAUAAUAAAAAAGAGCCUAGAAUGAAUUUACACUAAAAACAUUAAUUUACCGUUUGUUGAUAUGAUUCAUUGUUUCAAUUUAACAAAUCUAACUAUAUUCCGUUCAAAUAAUCUAUAAAACUUGAAGGAAAAAAAAAUCACAUUCCAUUAUUAAAUUUAACAUUUAACAAGAAAUCGAAAAAAAAAAACAAUUCACAUUUCACCAUCAAAUAUAACAAGAAGUCGUUAUUUCCCCCUUUAUUUAUUUUUAUUUUUAUUUUAUUUUUUACAUAUUUAUAUUUUGACUCCUCGUUUAGUGAAACUUUUUAAAAUUAACCUAAUGUGUAUCAAAAUCACUUGUCAGAAUUAUAGACUCACAUGUCGGAUCAUGUCGGGCCGUAUGUCGGAUUUUCCGACACCUGUUGACUACAUAUCAGAAUGUGUGGGAGCGUGUCGAAGUGUUUGACACAACACGAAAGAUCUUGGAAAAUGAACUAGGGUUAGGAAAAAAAAUAAAGAAAAGGAAAAACAAACAAAUAAAUAAAAUUAAAAUAUUCAAAUAUUAUUAAAAAUUGUGUAUGUUAGCGCUAGUCGUUGCCAGCCAUAUCACAUACAAUGUCUGAUCCACAUUAGUAAUUUUAUGUCAACAUUGGUUGAAGGAACUCAAUUGGCAAAAGUCGAAGAUGUUUAGACUCAAUUAACAAAAUUGAAAAGUUUAUGACUAAAUUGGCAAAAUUACUAUAGAUUUAUGACUUUUUGGAUAAUUUUUCCUCUUCCCUUGCAUGCAAUGCGGACUGAACUUAUCUCCUAGAGUGAGUCUUAACAGCUCAUCUAACACCAGUUCAGUGAGCGCUGGACAUGUGAACGAACAUUUAUGAAGUUGCUCUUUCCAAGUUGUAAAAUAUCCACGAAAGUUGGUUAGUAGGUGGUUAAUUUUUAAUUUCACCAAAGUCACUGGCAUUGUACUAAUUAGCCGCGUACAUAGCCCGACAAAACACGACACCGCCAUGAAUAAUACAACACCAAAGAGGUCCACAGCAGGAUCAUUUACUGGAGAAAUCCCACUUUUACACAUGACCUUCACAAACCAGACUCAACAAAAGCUUAUUUGAUAGUCCAAAUCUGCCGAUUCAGAUCGAGUAGAAACAUACUAAGUAGGCACAAAGAGACUCGCUAUCCUUCACAUAGACCAAGGACUCGGGUGCACCCGGCAUACCUGAUAAAACAGUCCUAAUACUGACCGGGCCAGAGCUCAAGGACCUUCUUCCAAGAAGGCCUGCUCGAGAUAUCAUCCCACCAACCGCUCACAUGCUUCCGGUCCCUUAUCAGGUACUCCUUCCGCAUCUUGCCCAUCAAGUACUGGGUGAACGGAAGGUGGCUCAGGUCCGCAAGGCUGAAGAAAUCCCCUGCUAGGUACUUGCUCUUUGACAGCCUCUCCUCGUAGAUAUCCAGAACCCGACAGAGCUUGUCCUCGCUCUCUUUGAGCUGCUUCGGAUCCGGGGUAAGCCCAAUAAGCGGGCCGUAAACAAGAUUGUGGACAAGGUCGUAGAUUGGCGGAUGGAAGUUGUGGGCCUCGACUUCGAGCCACUGCUCAACGAGCCCCCUCUCCUCGAUUGUCUUCCCCAGCAGUUCAGUCCCUUGGUGCUUGUAUUUCUCGGCAUAAUACCUUAUGAUGGCCCGCGAAUCUGUAUGAAUUAGACAGGAUAUAUCACAGAGAGUAGACAGACAAAUCUUUAUCCCCACAUAUGAAAAGCAACAAAAAACCAGAAUGAAACCUAAAAGAGGCAUGCACUCUGCUUUUGAAUUUACCAGCAGUCUUUACUCUCAUGACAUUAGACCCACGGUAUAAGUGUAGAUGCAGCAGGACAUUUCAAUGUCUAUGCACUGAUCAUUCUGCUUAAACUCCAAUCAAGAACAUAACCGGAUGAAAAUGCAGGUCCAAACGGAAAAUCAGCGGCCUUUGGUCGACAUAUGAAAAGAGACAGAUCAUGAACAACUCCAGAACGGAUAUGGACACUACGAGCCUGGCCUUAAGAGCUUCGGAUUCAAAUCAUCUGUUCCUCAGGCAAAUGAUUUGACUUGAGAUUGAGAGUGGAUGUAUGUAACCUAAAAUGAGUGGCUGAUAUCAAGUGAACAUGCCGGAGGACUCAAAUCUUUUCAACUUCCUCUGAUAUCCACUCGUUGUAGAACUCUUUAGACUAUUGCGACGCUUCACUGGCCGAUUACAACGCAAACAGCCCUAGUAAAUUAGGAACAUCUGCAUGCUAAAGAACCAUCCGUAUGUCCCCGUGCUCUGAUCUCAAGACCGCAAGAAAACAGCAAUAGAAAGAAAAGAACGAUGCAAGAAGCCAAGAGUCGAGAGCAUUACCGAACAGAGCGUAGUCGCCAUCUUGAACCACAGGAACCGAUCCGAAGGGCUACACAGGCGCGCACACACGAGAUCCGAAUCAGCGUCAAUCAGACAAGACACACUUUGAAUGCCAAGUACCCACGAAAGGAGACAUAAUGAAAAGUCAAGCUGUCAAGAGUUUGACCGAAAGAGAAGUUGGAGUUUCAAGAACGACCGGGACAGACCUGGAGCUUGAGGUACUCCGGGGCUUUGUGCUCGCCUUUGAAGAGGUCAACGAUGACGGUCUCGAACUCGACAUCCUUCUCGAUCAGGCACACGAGCACCCGCUUCGGCGACGCGUAGUCAGGGCCGUACACCUUCACCACCAUCCUCACUCUCGCUCCCUCACUCUCUCUCUCUCUGCUUCUUUCUUCCUUCUUGACGGACCUGGUCAGCGACUCUUUCCGCUGUGUCUCCCGGGUUUUAUAAAGAAGUCUCUUUGUUAGAGCAGCAGACAGAAGCUGCACACGUCAAUGAUGUACCAACCCACCACCAAUCCAAGGUUAGUUAAUUGGUUCCCAUCACUAAAGAGUUUUGCAUUUUGCAUUUACUUCCAUGAGUUUGAAUCCCUCUGCAAGUUAAGACUUAUGUGGAAAUACUGCGACUCUUUGGCCGUGUAUGCUCUCUGAGUAAAGUUGGGAUGGCAAGUAGGGCCUCCUUUGCCUGUCCAGGGAUGUAUUGCCCUAGAUUAAAAAUAUCCCAUUAAAGAGAUUAGAUAAAUAUAGAUAGAAUUUAUUAAAUUUAUGAUACAAAAACUAUUUUUAUCGAAUAACAAAUUUCUUCGAAUUUAAAUAAUUAAAUAUAAACAAUAUAUGAGUGCUAAUAUUAAAAGGGAAAUUCAAAAUAACAAUGAUUUUGGUUUCACUUUUAUUUAUUUAUCUAUCACAUAUUUUAGGUAUAUUGGUAUGGUUAAUUUAUUAAGAAAUGAUGGAAAGGAAUGAAAAAAGAAACAAAAAAAGAGAGUGAAAAUAAUAUAAAAAUAAGUAAAUAAAAUUGAAGUAGGCGAGGGAGUCAAAACACUAAUUAAGAUUCGCAAAGGUAAAUGAUCAUAUUUUCUUUCUCUUAGUAGAUUUGACGAGCGUUGACUAAUCUACCUAUCAAUGUUGUCAUAGCUCAUUCACAUUUGUCGUCAAAGUCAAACUCAUGACUCUGAAAUGUUGCAAUGAGCUCAUUUAUUGUUUAAGAUUUGGAUCGUCCAAUAAUUAUGGAUUUAUUUAUGGAUGUUAUCUCUGUCUACUUAAGGUUUCUUCAGCAAUUAACUAUAAGAUGUUCUUAACAUCUCCCUUUGUACAUUUUCAUAUUCAUUUAUAUUGAUAUACUAUUCAUACCAAAUAUUAGACAUGAUAGAAUAUGAAAAUAUUUGGUUCUAUUACUGUAAUUUACCACGUAAUAGACAAGAUUUUGUUAAUUUCAUAUCCUACUAUAUCAUAUUAUAUUCAGUCUUAUCUUAACUAGAAAUCCAAAUGAACAAAGAUAGCCUAAAAUUGUUAAAAUCCAUCAUGCUCCAUGGGACAUUUGUAAUCCUGAAGAUCUGUCUUUUGUCGAUUUCUUUCGAACUAAAUUGGCGUCACACCUAUACUCUACACCUUUGAUUAGUUUCGGCCGAAAGUUUUCAAUAAUCGUCACCAGACAUGGCGAAAAGCACUGUGCUUAUUUUUUCACAUGGCCCGCCUGCUUGUAGAUAGGCAAUUACCAAUUUGCUCGAAUUGGGUAGUAGGUGACGGGUCAAAUUGGCCUAUGUCCGCAAGCCAUAGAUUCUAAUAAUCGGUCUUCUUUUUAAUCUAAAUUAUUCAGGGGAGUAGGAAGAUUUGGCCAAUCAAAAAUGCACACUUGACCUGUCCUUGCACCAUAUACAAAAUGGUUUUCUUUGUCGACUUCCUUUGCACUUGCAAUUGAGUAAACUAUUGAUCACCUAACCUCCACAAGGAAGAAAGGGGUAAUAGACUAUUAUAUGUCCGAUGCCAUUAUUCACCCAAAUCAAUCUUUGCGCGUGGGAAUAUAAGAAACCUCAUAACAUUUUCCAUGCAACAACGGAAUUAGAAGAGCAAAAAGCACCAUCGCUCAGACAAAAUACUGCGAUGGGAAAUACUAUCGGUUCGAGUGGUAGAAGGAGGUGUUUUUGGGAAGGAUCAUUUAUGUGACUCUCUCUCCUCCGAAACUUUUUCAUAUUUGAUUAGUCAAACCUAAUUGCGAAAGUAAACCGUGAUGAUCUCACCCUGCAAUGCUGGUCAAGUACGCUGCUUUGGUUGACUUCCUGGCUGCCCACUGAUGAGGGCGGGUCCUGAAAAUUGCUGUCUCGGAUUGAAUCGAGCUGAGGAAUGUGGAGAAACCUUAUAACGAAUAUUGAUCCAGCUGAUGCUCGGAGGCACACCAUCGUAAAAGACAAAAUGUAAUAUUUGGUCUUUCUUUGUUAUAUUUGGUCAAAAGUGGGCUUUUCAUAUUUAAAGAAAGGAAAAAAUAAGAGUAAUGAUGGGACAGCCCGCACCGAGAGUGAAAGGAAACGGGAAAGAAAAGGAAGACGAAAGAGAAAAAGUAGAGAGGAAGAACUAGCGCACACACCUUGGAAUUCUCGUCGAGUUGGAUCAACUUCAUUUUUAUGAUAAAAAUUUACGGCAUUUGUUUGUUUAUUUGGAGUAGUUUUCAACAUCAGGAUACAAAUUCGAAAUUAUGUGAAAUUUAAACUACAAAUUCAAUUUUAAGAUGUGAUAUUACAUGGAAAUCAUAAUUAGGGCAUUAUGGAGUUAUGGAAAAAGAUUUGAAGUAACUUUUUGGUCAAUGUGAAAUUUUAGAGAUUUCUGCAUGAGCUCUACAUUAUGAUUUAAUUAAAUGGCAGAAAUAAUGUUCAUUGCUUAUUUGAUACAUAAAAUUUGAAUCGGGUAUUUAUUGCCCUUUUGUUUAUUUGAAAUAGCGUGGAAAGCAUUUUUGGAAACAAUUUACUAUUAUUGUGAAAUAAUUUGGGAAAUGCUUUAUUGCAUAAAAGCUAUAUGUAUUGAUUUGUGAAUUUGAUUUAUAAAGAUAUUAUAUUGCGAAAGGAUAUAUGUUUGAUAUUAUGAAAACUUUAUGAUAUCGAUUCUGAAUUGGUUUUGAGGAAGAAAUUGAUUUUUGAAAGAAUAUAUGUUUUUUGUUUGGUCGGUCAAAGGAUAUAUGUUUUGGUUUGUGUCAAAGUAUUUUGAUUAUGAGAUGGAUUUGGGUUUGGUAUUGUGGAUUAUUAGAAUAUGACGAUUUGAUAAUUAAUAUUGUUGCGAACUUAGUUAGGAGUUUUUAAAGCUUAAGGAUAUUGUUAUAGGCCAAACCACUAGCUGCUAACAAGCAGAGACAUUGCCUUGGUCAUGUUUCACUAGACAUUGUGUCGUGAUUAUGGUUGAAUAUUAAGCAUAAAAUGAAUCAAUGAAAUAAAUCAUUGAUGUAUGGUGUGAAAUUAAUCAUUGGUCAAUGAAAUAGAUCAUCGAUAUGUGAAUUGAUGAGAUUGAUCAAUAUAUUGGACCAUUGAUAUCUACUUUAAUAUUAUCGAUGAAAAGAGUAUUUCUUAUAUGUAUAAAGUUUUGUUCAAAAGAUAAAACUUGUUUUUGAUUUCAUACAUAUGCAAUACUGUGGAUUUGAAUUAGAUGAGUUUUGAUUUUGUACUGUAAACAUGCACAGUAUAUGCUCAAUCUGCUUAGAAGAGAUAUGCACUUCUUAUCGAGCUAUAGUUGCUUAUUUUCAACUUCUUUAGUUAUUGACAAGCAAGAACAGAGCGCUAAUGGCAAGGAGCUUUCGCUAGUUGUGUUUUGGAUAUGAGUUGAGAUAGUACGAUAUACUUAUAUUUUAAUAUCAAGUUUGGGAUUGAGAAUGCGUUCUCCAAGUAGAAGGGCAGCAGUAUCGUUUCCCCAUUUCCAUAGAAUUCAGGAUGUGGCACGCGCCUCGUAUGGAUCAAACUUUUCGAGUCAUGUCCGUGUGGACUUGUUGUAGGGGUCAAGGUCACCGCUACACUAACCGACCAGACUAUGAAGGGGUGCAAUUUUGGCCAGUUGCGAUCGACUUGCACGAUACCAAUUUUUUUUCCUUUGACAACGAAACGUCAUUCUAGUCACUUUCCGAGGGAGUCAGGUGGUGAAAGCCCAAUUCGGAAACUCAAUAGCGGAGUCAUGCGACGUGUUCGACAAGAGGAGGGAUCUUGAUGCUGCGUAAUGGCUUGCUGUACAACUUCAAUUGCUUUGUGAUGUUUUUCAACUCUAAAUCACCACAAAACACUGUAACUUUUAAAAGGAAUUCGGUUCCUGUUACAACCUGUGAGUCUGUGACCUGUCAUCAUAAUGGCAUAAGAUAUUUAUAACUUAAAUCGAAAUUCGGGUGAAAUUGCACUCGAUGACUCCAGAAAAUCAUAGUUGAAGAUUGCUAUCCAUGACGGCAGGAGUGCAACCCGAUGACUUGAGAAAUAUGACUUGAGUGCUAGCAAGCAGAAAGCCAGAGCAGCAACCAAAGCAGUAGGAAAAAAAAAAAAACAAUGUCGGUACAAGAUUUUCUUCUAGCAGCCCCUACACCAUUUACAUGGUCAUGGAGUAAAAUAUAUUUUAAGGAUGCAUUUGUUUCGCGAAAAAUAAAUUAAAAUAAAUCACUAAAAAAUUAUUUUUUCUAUUGUUUACAAAAAUAUAUAAUAAAAAUAUUUUCAUCAUACACGAAAAAAUGUUUAGACAUUAUGGGUCCGUUCGUUUCGUGAAAAACAACUUCUGGGAAAACAUUUUCUGGAAUUUCUGGUGUUUGGAUGAUGAAAAAUAGAUGGUCAAAGAAAAUAUUUUCCGGCCAAUGGAAAAUCUUCUUGUAAGAUUGUGGAAAAUGAUUUCCUUUUUUGAGAAGAGAAAAAAAAUUUCCAUAACUUCUUCCACCUUCUUUCUUUUCACCAACACAUUUAUGCUUUCUUUUUCUUUUUUGUUUUUUUUUAAAUCGAGUUUUUAAUUUUUCCUUUUCUUUUUUUCCAUUUCAUCUUCUUCCUUGGUGGCCGGCGACUAGCCACAAGCCAGCUCGAGCCUCGCCCUAGGCUAGCGAGGCUCCGCCUAGCUUGAUCUGGCGAAGCCGAGCUCGCCCGAACCCAGUGAGCUCUGGCCUCACCAGAUCGAGCGAGGCAAAGCACCGCCGGCCUGGGGCAGAGCUCGGGCCUAGCUAGAUCCGGCAAGCUGGGCGAGGCUUGGGCCUCGCCUGAGCUUGACAGAGGUUCGCUAGGCUCUGGCGAGCCACGAGCUCGCCGAAUUUGGCAGAGGAGAUCAAGCUCCCGAUCCAGGCGAGCCCGAGCUUUGCCGCCAAUUCGGGCAAGCUCGCGGCUCACCAGAGCCCGGCGAAACUCUGGUGAGAUCGGCCGAGCCUCGAGCUCGCUGGAUCUGGCGAUUGGGUCUUGGUCAGUCGCCAGACAGCCGACCAUCGUCAGGCAUGCGGCGAUGGAGGAAGGAGGCGGUGGCGGAGGAAGGAGAAGUCGGGAGGAAGAAGGAGGAAGGAAAAGAAAAGGAAAGAAAUAAUAAAAAAAACAAUUUUUUAAGAAUACAAAUAAUUAAAAACUCAUUUUUUAAAAAAAUAUAAAAAAAUAAAACUAAUUUUUUGGUCAAUUAGAAAUAUUAAAAUUCAAUUUUUGAUAAUUCUUCCCAAACAAUUAAAUUAACUAAUAACCGGUAGAAAAUAUUUUCCACUCGAAAUUUAGAUUAAGGCCAAACACUGGAAAAUAGAGUCAUUUUCCUGGAAAAUGACUUCUAGGAAAAUGUUUUCCAGAAAUAUAAUAUUUUUUGCGAAAUGAACGGACCCUAUAAUGAAAACAUUUUGUAUUGAAUAAUUAUUUCAAGCAAUACAAACGAUUUUUUUAGAAAAAUAUUUUCUAAAUUAUUCAUUUUAUAUUAAACAAAUGGAGCCUAAGUUUCUACUUUAUGAAUGAAAGGAAUAUAUUGACAUAUGGGCUUUCAAGAAAAGAAAUGUCUGGCAUUAGAAUCAUUUAAAAAUGGAUACUUUUUUUUUUAGAAGAGAAGUCCAAUUAACUCAACGAAUUAACAAUUUUUCUAACAAGGAUAUUAAAUGAGUCGCCCAACAUUGACAAUCAUAAUUCUUCAGGUAAAUAUGUGCCUAAUGUAAUAUACUUUUUAUUAACUUGUCACAUUUUAUAUCAUUGUCACGUCAUGUAACAACCACUAUAUGAUGUUUCAGAUCUAGCAGAGAGCACAUUAUUCUAGACCAGAGAAGGAUACAACAUCAAAAAAGGCCUUAUAGAGGAUAAUUUCACUGGAGUGAUCCCACUUGACACAAUAUCUUUCACAAACUAGACUCGACAAAGCUUAUUAGAUCCCCUGAAUCCGUCGAUUGAGAUCGAGCGGUAACGUACUAAUUAGGCACGGGGAGACUCGAUGGUUCACGGAAAGCGACUACUCCUUCUCACAGACCAAGGACUCGGGUGCAUCCGACGGACCUAAUAAAGACGGUCCUAAUACAGACCGGGCCAGAGCUCGACGACCUUCUUCCAAGAAGGCCUGCUCGAGAUGUCAUCCCACCACGCACUCACAUGCUUCCGGUCCCUUAUCAGGUACUCCUUCCCCAUUUUUCCCAUCAGGUACUGCGUUAACGAGAGGUGGCUCAGGUCGGCGAGGCUGAACAAAUCCCCCGCCAGGUACUUGCUCUUCGACAGCCUCUCCUCGUAGAUGUCUAGCACCUUACAGAGCUUGUCCUCGCUCUCUUUGAUCAGCUUCGGAUCCGGGGUAAGUCCCCUAAUCGGGUCAAAAACAAUUUUGUAGAUGAGGUCAGUGAUGGGCGGGCUGUAGCACUGGGCCUCGACUUCGAGCCACUGCUCGACGAGCCCCGUCUCCUCUAUCGUCUUUCCCAGCAGGUCGGUCCCUUGGUGCUUGUAUUUCUGGGCAUAAUACCUUGCGAUGGCCCGCGAUUCUGCAUGAACAAAAUAGGAUCCAUUACAGAGAGACAAAUCUUUACCCCCCCGCAUGAAAUUGACCAUAAUCUAGAACGCAACCUAAAAGAGACCAGCGCUAAGAUUUUGAAUUUACAAGCAGUCAGUCUCACAACGCUAGACCAACAGUAACAGUGCAGAAUCAGUGGGAUGUUUUUAUGACUAUGAAUUGAUCAUUCUGCCUCGACAUCGAUCAGGAAAGUAAUUGGACAAAAAUGCAGGUUCAAACAGAUAAUCGACGGCCUUCGGCCAACAUAGGAAACGGUAGUUUUCGAAGCUACUCUUUACUCUUCCUUGGAUACUCCCCAGAUAGCCAGCUGACGAGUCUGGCCUCUUUUCCUUAAACCUGAGCAAUCCUGACUGAUGGGGAAAAUACUCGAAAGACUCGCAUCUCACCGCUGAAACGCACGCCCAAUCCUUCCCAAUUCAGACUAUUUCGCCAUGGAGCUUUGAUUUAAAUCAUCCAUUGCCUAGGCAAAUGUUUCGACUUGAGAUUGAUCAGACUCUUAAAAAGUUCAAAUUAUAAAGACGACAACCUUAACUUUAACCUAACAAAUGCCGGAAGGUGCUGAGUUCCGAGCACAAAUCCUCCGCCCCUAAUGCAUUUUGAUUACACCAGCAUUUUUUUUCUUUUUUUUUUAGAGAGGAUAAAAGAACACUCGAAAGUUAUUGUCAAAGCACGCAAGUGAUUAAAGGAGUCGCAAAGCUAAAUCACCGGACGUCCAUGAGCUAAAACGAGCUGCUAAUAUCAACUGAAUAUUAUGUCGACAGAACUUGGGCUUCUCAACUUCCUGUGGUAUCUAUUCAUUGCAGAGCUUCUUAGACUUUAAACACCAAACCUUAACCCGACAAAUUACACAAGCGACAGCAUGCUGAAGAACCAUCCGUGCUUCCACAUGUUUCGGUCCAAGCGUCGGAGUGCGAUGUGAAAAUCCAAAAGUCGAGAGCAUUACCAAACAAAGUAUAGUCUCCAUCUUGAAUCACAGGAACCGAUCCGAAGGGCUGCAGGCACGCACACACAUGAUCCGAAUCAGAAACAUUCAGAUAAAGUACCUCAAUGCUAAGUACCCACAAAGAAAAUGUAAACUCCAGUUGGAUCCAAAGAGACGCGAGUUUCAAGAACAGAGACAGGCCUGGAGCUUGAGGAAUUCAGGGGAUCUGUUCUCGUCCUUGAAGAUAUCGAUGGGAACGGUCUCGAACUCGACGCCCUUCUCGAUCAGGCACACCAGCACUCGCUUCGGAUUUGCAUAAUCAGGCCCGUACACCUUCACCACCAUUUUUUCUCUCUUCUUCUCUCUUGUCGACGGACCAGUUGAUUUCCAAAUAUCUUUCAGGAUCGACUCUCCUUCUGCGUCUGGGUUUAUAAAGGAAGCUCUUAUCAGACGAUUAAACCAAGUCGCACACGAUACCGUCAUGCACCAACUUACUGUUCGCGACCAGAUUCCUUUGGAGAUCCAAGGUUAGAUAAUCGGUCAAUGUUGGUAUGCUACUAAUUACCUUCGUCGAAUUUGACUUCGCAUAUGCCUCGGAAGGGUUUGCAACAUUUCCUCUGACUUAUCUUUGAUAGAUUGUUCUCUGGCAAUGCGCACGCUAUCUGACAUAUUUGGACGGUAGACUUGAAAUUCAUUAUGCUCGCAUAAAUUUCCUCGGAGAAAAUGACAGUCUUUAAAACUUUAGCCUAAGUGCAACGUUGUCUUUGACUUUUAUUAAUUUAAUGAAUUCCUUGAAUUUUCUAAUGUUCAAUCUAAUCCUUAAAUCCUUCUGCAUUUUGCCAAUUAAAUUCAUCUAGCUGAUUUUAGCUAAAGAUCAUUGAACUAGACAUUAACUUUAUUUGGUAGUAUAAGUGACAUUGAUGUAAACAAUUUUUUAAUAAUUUUAAAUUUUUAAUAAUUUUUUUCUUUUUUCUUUUUUCUUUUUCUAAUCCUAGGUCGACAACCCUCACUUCAUCUAGGCUAGGGGCCCUCACCCAAAACCAGGUGAGGGAUGCCCUCGCCUUACCCAAGCCAAGCAAGGGUGUCACAGCCCUCGCCUAAAUCUAGGCAAAGGCCAACCCUCUCACUUGUGGUCUGCAACUCAAGUAACACUGAUACCAGUAUAUGACAUGCAACACGACAUAAGAUGACAUAAGAUAACAUGCGAUAUGACACAAUAUAACACGUCAACAUGUUUUUUCUAAAACAAUAGAGAAUUCCGAUACGUUAGGACGCAUUAUAUAUUAAAUAUAUAUUUUUAUAUAUACAUGAUAAAUUAUCAUUUUUAUGAUUAUUUUAAUAAAAUUAAUUUGAUUUAGAUUCACAAAUAAAUAAAUAAUAAAAAAGAGCAUAGAAUGAAUUUACACUAAAAACAUUAAUUUAUCAUUUGUUGAUAUGAUUCAUUGUUUCAAUUUAACAAAUCCAGCUAUAUUCCGUUCAAAUAAUCUUUAAAACUUGAAGGAAAAAAAUCAAUUCACAUUCCACUAUUAAAUUAACAUUUAACAAGAAGUCAAAAAAAAAAAAAAAAACAAUCCACAUUUCACCAUCAAAUAUAACAAUAAGUCUUUAUUUCUCCCUUUUAUUUUUUUUAUUUUUUAUUUUUUUUUACAUAUUUAUAUUUUGACUCCUCUUUUAGUGAAACUUUUCAAAAUUAACCUAAUGUGUGUCGAAAUCACAUGUUGAAAUUAUAAACUCACAUGUUGGAUCCUGUUGCGCUGGAUGUCGGAUUUUCUAACACCUGUUGACUACGUGUGGAAAUGUGUCGGAGCGUGUCAAAGUGUUUGACACAACACGAAAGAUCUUGGAAAAUGUCAAUGCUUCCUAGCCUGCAACUAGGGUUAGGAAAAAAAAUAAAGGAAAGGAAAAACAAACAAACAAAUAAAUAAAUAAUAUUUAAAUAUUAUUAAAAAUUGUGUAUGUUAGCGUUAGUCGUCGCCGGCCGUAUCACAUACAACAUCUAACAUCCACAUUAGUAAUUUCAUGUCAAAAUUGGUCGAAGGAACUCAAUUGGAAAAAGUCAAAGAUAUUUAAACUCAAUUAACAAAAUUAAAAAGUUUAUGACUAAAUUGGCAAAAUUACAAUAGAUUUAGAAAUUUUUGGAUAAUUUUUCCUCUUCCCUCGCAUGCAAUGCAGACUUAUCUCCUAGAAUGAGUGUUAACAGCUCAUCAAACACCAGUUCAGUGAGUGCUGGACAUGUGAACGAACAUUUAUGAAGUUGCUCUUUCCAAGUUGUAAAAGAUCCAUAAAAGUUGGUUAGUAGGUGGUUAAAUUUUAAUUUCACCAAAGUCACUGGCAUAGUACUAAUUAGCCGCGUACAUAGCCCGACAAAACACGACACCGCCAGGAAUAAUACAACACCAAAGAGGUCCACGACGCAAACAGCCCUAGUAAAUUAGGAACAUCUGCAUGCUAAAGAACCAUCCGUCUGUCCCCGUGCUCUGAUCUCAAGACCGCAAGAAAACAGCAAUAGAAAGAAAAGAACGAUGCAAGAAGCCAAGAGUCGAGAGCAUUACCGAACAGAGUGUAGUCGCCAUCUUGAACCACAGGAAGCGAUCCGAAGGGCUAGACAGGCGCGCCCGCACGAGAUCCGAAUCAGCGUCAAUAAGACAAGACACACUUCAAAUGCCAAGUACCCACGAAAGGAGACACGAUGAAAAGUCAAGCUGUCGAGAGUUUGACCGAAAGUGAAGUCGGACUUUCAAGAACGAACGGGACAGACCUGGAGCUUGAGGUACUCGGGGGCUUUGUGCUCGCCUUUGAAGAGGUCGACGCCGACGGUCUCGAACUCGACGCCCUUCUCGAUCAGGCACACCAGCGCCCGCUUCGGCGACGCAUAGUCAGGCCCGUACACCUUCACCACCAUCUUCACUCUCGCUCCCUCACACUCUCUUUCACUCUCUCUCUCUCUCUCUCUCUCUCUCUCUCUGCUUCUUUCUUCCUUCUUGACGGACCUAGUCAGCGACUCUCUCCGCUCUGUCUCCCGCGUUUUAUAAAGAAGUCUCUUUGUUAGAGCAGCAGACAGAAGCUGCACACGUCAAUGAUGCACCAACCCACCACCAAUCCAAGGUUAGUUAAUUGGUCCCAUCACUAAAGAGUUUCGCAUUUUGCAUUUGCUUCCAUGAGUUUGAAUCCCUCUGCAAGUUAAGACUUAUCUGGAAAUAUUGCGACUCUUUGGCUGUGCAUGCUAUCUGGGUAAAGUUGGGAUGGCAAGUAGGGCCUCCUUUGGUUAUUGAUAGAUUUUUUUAUAUUUAUGAUAUAAAAAUCAUUUUUGUCUAAUAAUAAAUUUCUUCGAAUUUAAAUAAUUAAAUAUAAACAAUAUAUGAGUUCUAAUAUUAAAAGGGAAAUUCAAAAUAACAAUGAUUUUCAUUUUAUUUUUAUUUAUAUAUUUGAAUUUAUUUUCUAUAUAUACAUACUUAAAAUUUAUAUCUAUAGCAUAUUUUAGGUAUUUUGGUAUAGUUAAUUUAUUAAGAAAUGAUGGAAAGGAAUAAAAAAAGAAACAAAAAAAGAGAGUGAAAAUAAUAUAAAAAUAAGUAAAUAAAAUUGAAGUAGGCGAGAGAGUCUAAACACUAAUUCAGAUUCGCAAAGCUAAAUGAUAAUGUUUUCUUUCUCUUAACAGAUUUGAUACGCAUUGACUAAUUUUCCUAUUGAUAUUGUUGUAGCUCAUUUACAUUUGUCUUCAUAGUCGAACCCAUGACUCUAAAAUGCUACAAUGAGCUCAUUUGCUGUUUAAGAUUUGGAUUGUAAAAUAAUUAUGGAUUUAUUUAUGGAUGUUAUCUCCAUUUUGUCCUUUUAUGGUUUCUUUAGCAAUUAAACUGUAAAUUAUUCUUAACAUCUCCCUUUGUACAUUUUCAUGUACAUUUACAUUGAUAUACUAUUUAUAUCAAACAAUAGAUGUGAAAAUAUUCGAUUUUAUUACUAUAAUUUACCACAUAAUAGACAAGAUUUUGGUAAUUUCAUAUCCUACCAUAUCAUAUUAUAUUAAGUCAUAUUUUAACUAGAAAUCCAAAUGAACAAAGGCAGCCUAAAAUUGUUAAAAUCCGUCAUGCUCCAUGGGACAUUUGUAAUCUUGAAAGGAUAUGUCUUUUGUCGAUUUCUUUUGUACUAAAUUGAUGUCGCACCUAUGCUCUACACCUUUGAUUAGUUUUGGCCGAAAGUUUUCAAUAAUCGUCACCAGAAAUGGCAAAAAGCACUGUGCUCAUUUUUUCACAUGGCCUGCCUGCUUCUAGAAAGGCAAUUACCAAUUUGCUCAAAUUAGGUAGUAGGUGACGGUUCAAAUUGGCCUAUGUCCACAAGCCAUAGAUUCUAAUAAUUGGUCUUCUUUUUAAUCUAAAUUAUUCGAGGGAGUAGGAAGAUUUGGCCAAUCAAAAAUGCACACUUGAGCUGUCCUUGCAUCAUUUACAAAAUGGUUUUCUUUGUCGACUUCCUUUGUACCUGCAAUUGAGUAAACUAUUGAUCACCUAACCUCCACAAGAGAACGAGGAAGAAAGGGGUAAUCGACUAUUAUAUGUACAACGCCAUUAUUCACCCAAAUCAAUCAUUGCAUGUGGGAAUAUAAGACACCUCAUAACAUUUUCCAUGUGACAACGGAAUUAGAAGAGCAAAAAGCAUCAUUGCUCGGACGAAAUACUGCUAUGGGAAAGACUAUCAGUUCGAGUGUUAGAUGGGAGGCGUUUUUAGGAAGGAUCAUUUAUGUGAGGAAACUUAUACUGGCAACAAGGGAGAUAUAAAGAGGUGGAAGGAUGCACUAAGUAAAGUAGCUAGUCUUGCUAGAAGAGAAUUGAAAGAUGGGUAGGCCUCUCUUCCACUAACUUGGAAUUAUUUGUUUUCUUUAAGUUUAGUGUGCCAUGAAUGUCAUGACUAUCAUACUCUGUAUUAUGUUAGUUCAUCUAAACCAGAAUAUAUGAUUAACUCCUCCAAAACUACACUGCCUCAAUGCUACCUAGGGAACUAAUCAUCUGGAUUUCUUCAUUGUAGAUAUGAGACACAGUUCAUUUGGCAAAUCAUUGGAGAAAUCAAAGAUAAAUUGGGUCCCCGACUAUCCUAUGUUGUAGGUGUUAGGAAAAUUCCUUAUGAUAUUUUGAAAAUAACAAAAUAAAUCAAAGGCUACUAACGUGUUUAAUGGUUAAGUAACAGACUAUGCAGAUGAUAGAAUGUAUAAAGAAUAUUAUCAAAGUCUAUACUUGGAAGAACUAGAAGAUAGACUUUAUGCUGAAACUGAAUUUAUUCAAACUGUGUCUAGACCUUAAGUCUAAAUCUGUUCAAAAGCAGAUUAUGUUCAGACUUACGUCCAGAUUAUAAAGUCUAUCUCAGACUUUACUUCAAACUAAAGACACUCAGACUCUACUUCAAAUAGAAUAUUCCCGAACUUUACAUCCAGAACGAGACACAAGUUUAGAACGUAGCAGAUUCAUAAUGAAGCAUGUUCAGAAUGAGACAACUUGAUAGAACGUAACACGAGCCCCAAACAUAUAACGGCUAGUAAUCUGGUUUGGAUUCUACAUCAAGAUAGAUUUGAUUGACAAAUUGGAUAUUAAAAACAAGAACUUUCUAUACGAAGAAGCUAUACUUAUGAAAACCAAGAUUCUGCUUGUAUGGGCGAUCGGAAUCAAUUUGGGAUUCUACUUCUAUCACUCAACGGCUAUUAAAUCUUCUAAAUAUAGAUAUGUCCAAUGGGUAGAUCGGAAGACGAUCCUCUAAAUACUGUCCAAUUACUAGUUUGAAAGUGGAGGAGUAUUUAAGGAGAUCAAUGACCGAUAAACAAAUAAGAGACGAAGCGUAGAAAUUUAUAAUUUCAAAGUAUGAGCAAUCUUCAAUCAUACGCUUGUCUUUGGUAAGCUUAAACAUUUGUGAUCGUGAGAGAAAUAUCAAAAGAGUGACUUAGUGAGAUAGUGUGCUCUACCACUAAAUGUUUGCACUCAAAGUUGUAAUCUCUUGUUGAUCAUAUAGUGGAAUCCAGCCAGAAGGCUGUCAGCGUGGAAGAGUGGAUGUAAGCUUGAUCUAAGCCGAAUCACUAUAAAUUCUAUGUUUUUAUUCUCUUUCCUGAACUCCUUUAUUUUGUUCGUAGUUCUAUUUAACUAUUAAAGUUUGAACUCGCUCAAAGUCUGUUGUUCUUCAGACUCAGUUUCAAAAGCAAAAUAUUUGUAUUACUUUUUGCAAAAAAUUUUCUUCACACCUAUUCAACCCCCCUCUAGGUGUUCAUACUAGCACUUUCAGUAGGCAAUCUUGUGGGAAUGCAUUCCCGGGUUGCAAAUGUAGUUGAAUAUUUAUCCUUGGACGAGAGUGAUGUACACAGUAUUGGCAUAUGGGGAAUGGGUGGCAUAAGCAUAACAACUGUUGCACAAGCAAUUUUUGACAAAAUCCGUGGCCGAUUUGAUGAUGGAAGUUUCUUGCCAAUGUCAAAGAAAUUUCAAAAAAGAAUGGUUUGGUAUAUUUGCAAAACCAGUUUCUCAGUGAUAUUCUCCAAGAGGACAAUUUGACAAUCAUGGAUGAUCACAGAGGAACAAACAUGAUAAGAGAACAACUGUGACAUAAAAAAGUUCUUGUUAUACUUGAUGAUGUGGACGAAAAGGAGCAGCUGGAAAAACUAGCAAGAGGUCUUGAAUGGUUUGGACAUGGGAGUAGGAUCAUUAAAACAACUAGAGAUGAACAUUUGCUUCUCCAAUAUGAUGUAAAUUCCAUAUAUAGGGUGGAGGGACUAUCCUUUUAUCAGGCUCGCCAACUAUUUUGUUCAAAAGCUUUUAGAAGUGACCAUCCUCCAAUAGAGUUCGAGGAGCUCACAAAGCAGGUUAUUGAAUAUGCUAGUGGUCUUCCUCUAGUCCUUGAUGUCUUAGGUUCCUUUUUGGCUUAUAGGAGCUUGAAGCAAUGGAAGAGUGCACUAGCCAAACUCAAGAAAUGUCUAGAAGGGAAAAUCUUUUACCAGCUUAAGUUAAGUUAUGAUGGACUACAGCAGAAAGAGAAGGAGAUUUUCCUAGAUAUUGCAUGUUUUUUCAAGGGAAAGGAGAAACCUUAUGUUACAAAAGUUUUGGACAAUUGCGGUUUGUACGUAGAUAUUGGAAUCAAAGUCCUUGUCAAUAGAGCUCUCAUCCAAAUCGUGGGCAACAAACUGUGGAUGCAUGAUUUGCUACAAAAUAUGGCUUGGGAAAUUGUUCGUCGAGAGUCUCCUAAAGAGCUAGGAGAACAAAGUCGAGUCUGGCUUUUUGAGGAUGUAUGCCAUAUUUUGUCAAAAAACUCGGUGAGUAUCUGCAAAAUUAAUUUGCAAGCAUGCCUAUUUGAUAGAGUUUAAAAAGAACUUGCUAGUCAUAUAUUGACACUAUAUGAGUUGUUUAUCAAGGAACUGGAAAAGUCAAAGCCAUAGUCUUGCAAUAUGGGGACCAUAGAACAAUGCGCUUGAGUGGAGAGUCCUUCACCAACAUGACUAAAUUAAGAUUGCUUGAUAUUCGGGCCAUCCACCUCUCUUAUGGGUUCAAGCACCUUUCAAAUGAACUAUGCCUACUAAGAUGGGACAACUGCAGUCUUAAAUCAUUUCCACCAAGUUUUCUUCCAAAGAAUCUUGUCGAACUCCAUAUGCAGGAUAGCCUCCUUUGCAACAACUGGAGAGGGGAAAAUGUUGGAAUUAGUACUAAUGCAUGUUAACCUCAAUGGUUCCAAAUUAUUUGUGGAGACUCCAAACUUCAUAUAUGUCCCAAAUCUAGAGAGGCUAAUUCUCAAAGGUUGCAAAGCAUUAUCUAAAGUUCAUCCUUCAAUUAGAAAUCUAGAAAGACUCAGUCUACUUGAGGUGAUUGUGAAAAUAUCAUGGGACUUCCAAAUAGUCUAGGUAAUCUAAAAUCUCUCAGAGUUCUUAAUCUAUGUAGAUGUUCAAAUCUUGAAGAACUGCCUGAUAGCAUUGGGGGCUUAGAGUGCUUAGAGGAGCUUGAUAUUAGUGAAAGUGCCAUGACACGCCUCCCAUCCAGCUUGGUGUUCUUACAAAAUCUGAAAAAAUUAUGCUUUCAUGUUAAUAAAAGGAGGCCACAAAAUUGUUGGAGGACACUGACCAAACGCUGAGAAGAGCUCUGAACUCUAGAAGUCCGAGGUUGCCUUCAUUUUCAAGGCUAUCCUCUUUAAUAGAGUUGGAUUCGAGUGGCUGUAGACUUCUGGAAGGAGAAAUUCCCAGUGAUAUUGACUGCUUACCCUCCUUGAUGUCUUUAGAUCUAACUGAAAACAGUUUUACCACCAUACCUGCAAGCAUCAAACAUAUCUUUGGCUUGAAAUAGCUUUGUAGCAUUUUCUCUGGCCCAUCUUUGACAUAUUAUAUACUCUUGCAGCGUGCAUAAUGUUGGAUAUAGUUGGACAGUAGAAUCAUAAAAAUUUCAUUAUGCUCGCAUAAUUUACAUAUUUCUAAUUAUCAUUUUUUUGUGGGCCAUUUGAAAUUUAAAAGGCCUAUCUUUCGUCAAUUUUUUCUUCACUGGAUGAUGUCGAACCUAUGCUCAAUAGUCAAUUUACAUUGACUUCACUAGAUGAAUGUCAAACCUAUGCUCAAUAGUCAAUUUACGUUACUUGUUUUGGCCGAAAAGUUUCCAACAAUCCUCAGUAGAAACGGCAAAAGCAUUUUGCUCGUCCAUGUUGAUAUUGCCCGAUUGCCUGCCUGCUUCUAGAAAAGCAAUUACAAAUUUGCUCAAAUUGGGAAUUGGGGAUACUAAUCGGUCUUUUUCCACAAUUUCUUUAAAGUUUAGGAAGAAUGUUCAAGUGUCGAUAUUCAUGAGACAAUAUGAACUUUUCUCGUAUGCUUCAGCUAAUCUUUUUGGGGAUGAUCUCAUCGUGUGAUGCUACUCUGUUUUCUGCAGCAGUUUUGGCUUUUCUUCUGGUGCAAAAGAGUCGGCAAACCUCCGUCUUCUUCAUGCCAACAAGACGCGCCCACAUCUAAUAUAUAAAACUUGAUGCGGUCGGUAUCCAUGUUUAUAAAGAGUUCAUUUAUCUCUUAGAAUGAGUCUUAACAGCUGAUCUAACACCAAUUCAGUGAGUACUGGACAUAUAAAUGAAAGUCUAUGAAGUUGCUCCUUUCAAGUUGUAAAAGAUCCUCAAAAGUUGAUAAGUAGGUGAUUAAUUUUUAAUUUCACCAAAGUCGCUCGCAUAGUACUAAUCAGCUGCGUACAUAGCCCUUUCAUUUAUCUCUUAGAAUGAGUCUUAACAGCUGAUCUAACACCAAUUCAGUGAGUACUGGACAUAUAAAUGAAAGUCUAUGAAGUUGCUCCUUUCAAGUUGUAAAAGAUCCUCAAAAGUUGAUAAGUAGGUGAUUAAUUUUUAAUUUCACCAAAGUCGCUCGCAUAGUACUAAUCAGCUGCGUACAUAGCCCGACAACACGCAACACUGUCAUGAAUAAAACAACAAGAAGGAGGUCCACGACACGAUCGGUCAAACCAGAUUCAACAAAGCUUAUUUGAUCACCCAGAUCGAGUAGAAACAUACUUAGUAGUCACAGAAAGACUCGCUAUCCUUCGCAUAGAACAAGGACUCGGGUGCACUCGGCAUAACUGAUAAAACAGUCCUAAUACAGACCGGGCCAGAGCUCAAGGACCUUCUUCCAAGAAGGCCUGCUCGAGAUAUCAUCCCACCAACCGCUCACAUGCUUUCGGUCCCUUAUCAGGUACUCCUUCCCCAUCUUGCCCACCAAGUACUGGGUGAAUGGAAGGUGGCUCAGGUCGGCAAGGCUGAAGAAAUCCCCUGCCAGGUACUUGCUCUUUGACAGCCUCUCCUCGUAGAUAUCCAGAACCUGACAGAGCUUGUCCUCGCUCUCUUUGAGCUGCUUCGGAUCCGGGGUAAGCCCAAUGAACGGGCCGUAAACAAUUUUGAGGACAAG